GAUGAAGAACGUAGUGAAAUGCGAUAAGUAGUGUGAAUUGCAGAAUUCAGUGAAUCAUCGAAUCUUUGAACGCACAUUGCGCCCCAUGGUAUUCCGUGGGGCAUGCCUGUUCGAGCGUCAUUUACCCCCUCAAGCUCCGCUUGGUGUUGGGCGUCUGUCCCGCUUCGCGCGCGGACUCGCCCCAAAGGUAUUGGCAGCGGUCGUGCCAGCUUCUCGCGCAGCACAUUGCGCUUCUCGAGGCACCGGUGGGCCCGCGUCCAUCAAGCUCACCCCCCCAGUUUGACCUCGGAUCAGGUAGGGAUACCCGCUGAACUUAAGCAUAUCAAGCGGAGGA
rnacentral:misc_RNA from 1 species